rnacentral:rRNA from 1 species
GUGCCAGCAGCUGCGGUUAUACAAAAAAUACAAAUAAAUUUUAUUAAAUUAAGUUAAAUUGAUAAGUAUUUAAUAAUAAAAAAAUUUUUAGGUGAAAUUUUAAUUUUUUUAUUUUUAAAAUUAAAAGAAAUGUUGAAGCUAAAAAAUUUUGUUAAUAAACUAGGAUUAGAUACCCUAUUAUAAAAAAAUGUAUUUUUGAAAAAAAAUUAGAGUAGUAAUAGCUAUGGUCUUGAAACUCAAAAAAUUUGGCGGUAUUUUAGUCUAUUCAGAGGAACCUGUGGUGUAAUCGAUAAUCCACGAUGAAUCUUACUUAUUUUUGUUUUUCAAUUUGUAUACCGCCGUUAUUUAAAAAUUUUUUGAAAAUAAUAAUUUUUAUAAUUUUUUAUUAAAUAGAAAGUCAGGUCAAGGUGCAGUUUAUAUUUAAGUAUUUCAUGGGUUACAAUAAAUUUAUUUAUACGGAUUAAAUUAUGAAAUUAGUUUAUGAAGGGGGAUUUGGUAGUAAAUUUUUAAAGAUUAAAAAAUUGAUUUUAGCUCUAAAAUAUG